UGCUUAGUUGUAACUCGGUUUGUGACUGGUUCCAUUUUGUAAGGAGAUGUGGCUUACCCAGAUCGAUUGAAACUUCCAGAUCUGUUGUGGAUUCUUUUGAUAGAAGUUCUGGAUCUGUUGAUUUACGGAGUGGUUUAAUUUCCAAAGCUUUUGUCUUUGAAUUUCUUGUUAGAUCUGGUUAGUUUUAUUGAUUGUUCAUAUCUCCUAGGCUACUGGUGGGGUACUCUUUGUUUCAGGGUGUGUCUAUUUCGAUGAGUUCGCUGUGGGUUCCGUCUAAGCCGUUUCUCUGCCGUUCGUGGCCUGUGUUCGAUGUUCUCCGGCUUGGGUGGGCUUCGCUCCUAGUUGUUUGAGCAGAUUUCGUGGAGAUCUGUGUCCGUGGUGGUUUCAUAUAUUGGCGUUCAAUAGUCAAAACAAAAAGGCGUACUUUAGUCGUCUUCGACUCAGUCGUAUCCGGGAGUGUGACAGAAUCUAUGAGUGAUUAUUACUGGCCGGUUUGUGAAGCUCGUGUUACUGGUUUCUGAGGUGGAGCCUCGUUGUUCUAGGAGGAAGUGGUUUGUAGGUGGUUUGGCCGAGGACAUUCACAUCAAGCAACUUUCAUAGGUUCUCUUCUCUUUAGGUUUCUCUGUACUCUUGAGAUGGAUACUAGUAGUUUGGAAUCUAGUUGCUUAGUCUAAAGUCUGAUUGUAAUCGUUGUGCCCUGUAUCAUGUAUCGUGUUUGGGCUUCUGCUGCCCCUGUGUGGGUUUAAGGUUCCGGAGACAUCAUGUUGUUCGCCGGCAUAGUUAACCACAGACAUAUCUUCGUCCGUUGGUCUUGUGUGGAUCUAUUUUAUCUAUAACAAAAUCAGUUAGAAAAAAAAUAGAAAUCA
rnacentral:lncRNA from 1 species